rnacentral:rRNA from 1 species
AGAGCGAACGCUGGCGGCAGGCCUAAUACAUGCAAGUCGAACGCACCUUCGGGUGAGUGGCGGACGGGUGAGUAACACGUGGGAACGUGCCCUUUGGUUCGGAAUAAUCCGGGGAAACCUGGCCUAAUACCGGAUGUGCCCUUCGGGGGAAAGAUUUAUCGCCAUUGGAGCGGCCCGCGUCUGAUUAGCUUGUUGGUGGGGUAAUGGCCCACCAAGGCUACGAUCAGUAGCUGGUCUGAGAGGAUGAUCAGCCACACUGGGACUGAGACACGGCCCAGACUCCUACGGGAGGCAGCAGUAGGGAAUCUUGCGCAAUGGGCGAAAGCCUGACGCAGCCAUGCCGCGUGAAAUGAUGAAGGUCUUAGGAUUGUAAAAAUUCUUUCAGCGGGAAAGAUAAAUGACUGUACCCGCAGAAGAAGCUCCGGCUAACUUCGCGCCAGCAGCCGC